GCACCGCUGAGGAGUCCCACAACAGGACGAAACGGCCGUACAGUAC
rfam:Schistosoma rodhaini strain Burundi genome assembly, scaffold: SROB_scaffold0001651